GACGAACGCUGGCGGCGUGCCUAAUACAUGCAAGUAGAACGCUGAAGGAGGAGCUUGCUUCUCUGGAUGAGUUGCGAACGGGUGAGUAACGCGUAGGUAACCUGCCUGGUAGCGGGGGAUAACUAUUGGAAACGAUAGCUAAUACCGCAUAAGAGUGGAUGUUGCAUGACAUUUGCUUAAAAGGUGCACUUGCAUCACUACCAGAUGGACCUGCGUUGUAUUAGCUAGUUGGUGGGGUAACGGCUCACCAAGGCGACGAUACAUAGCCGACCUGAGAGGGUGAUCGGCCACACUGGGACUGAGACACGGCCCAGACUCCUACGGGAGGCAGCAGUAGGGAAUCUUCGGCAAUGGACGGAAGUCUGACCGAGCAACGCCGCGUGAGUGAAGAAGGUUUUCGGAUCGUAAAGCUCUGUUGUAAGAGAAGAACGAGUGUGAGAGUGGAAAGUUCACACUGUGACGGUAUCUUACCAGAAAGGGACGGCUAACUACGUGCCAGCAGCCGCGGUAAUACGUAGGUCCCGAGCGUUGUCCGGAUUUAUUGGGCGUAAAGCGAGCGCAGGCGGUUAGGUAAGUCUGAAGUUAAAGGCUGUGGCUUAACCAUAGUAGGCUUUGGAAACUGUUUAACUUGAGUGCAAGAGGGGAGAGUGGAAUUCCAUGUGUAGCGGUGAAAUGCGUAGAUAUAUGGAGGAACACCGGUGGCGAAAGCGGCUCUCUGGCUUGUAACUGACGCUGAGGCUCGAAAGCGUGGGGAGCAAACAGG
rnacentral:rRNA from 1 species